GUAGGGAAUUUUGCGCAAUGGACGAAAGUCUGACGCAGCGACGCCGCGUGAGGGAUGAAGGUCUUCGGAUUGUAAACCUCUGUUGAGUGGGAAGAAAACGUCUGCAGGUAAUAUCUGCAGGCCUUGACGGUACCGCUCGAGGAAGCCCCGGCUAACUACGUGCCAGCAGCCGCGGUAAUACGUAGGGGGCUAGCGUUGUUCGGAAUUACUGGGCGUAAAGGGAGUGUAGGCGGGGUGGUAAGUUAGAAGUUAAAUGCUCAGGCUUAACUUGAGACCUGCUUUUAAGACUGCCACUCUUGAGUAUGGGAGAGGGUGAUGGAAUUCCAGGUGUAGCGGUGGAAUGCGUAGAUAUCUGGAAGAACACCCGCUGCGAAGGCGGUCACCUGGCCCAAUACUGACGCUGAGGCUCGAAAGCUAGGGGAGCAAACAGGAUUAGAAACCCUAGUAGUCC
rnacentral:rRNA from 1 species